GUGAAACCUAAUUGGCCUGAAGAAGAGCUUCGUCUGAUUAGCUAGUUGGUGGGGUAAAGGCCUACCAAGGCGACGAUCAUAGCUGGUCUGAGAGGAUGAGCAGCCACACUGGGACUGAGACACGGCCCGACUCCUACGGGAGGCAGCAGUGGGGAAUUUUCCGCAAUGGGCGAAAGCUGACGGAGCAACGCCGCGUGAGGGAGGAAGGUCUUUGGAUUGUAAACCUUUUUCUCAAGGAAGAAGUUCUGACGGUACUUGAGGAAUAGCCUCGGCUAACUCCGUGCCAGCAGCCGCGGUAAUACGGGGGAGGCAACGUUAUCCGGAAUUAUUGGGCGUAAAGCGUCCGCAGGUGGCCAGCCAAGCUGCUGUCAAAUCAGGUUGCUUAACGACCUAAAGGCGGUGGAAACUGGCGACUA
rnacentral:rRNA from 1 species